rnacentral:rRNA from 1 species
UACGAGUGCCCCAAGCGUUAUCCGGAAUUAUUGGGCGUAAAGGGUGUGUAGGCAGCAUGGUUAGUCUUUUGUUAAAGCUCCCGGCUCAACCGGGAAGAUGCAAGGGAAACGGCCAUUGCUAGAGGAUGUGAGAGGUGAAUGGAACUCAUGGUGUAGGGGUGAAAUCCGUUGAUAUCAUGGGGAACACCAAAAGCGAAGGCAAUUCACUGGCACAUUCCUGACGCUGAAACACGAAAGCGUGGGUAGCGAAUGGG